ensembl:lncRNA
CAAAAUGUCUGACAUACAUGACCUAAAGGAGGAAGGAUUUAUUCUGACUCAUGGUCAUGGAGUCAGUCCAUGGUUGGCUGGCUCCAGGGCAGAAAUAUUAUGCCCGAAGGGUGUGGCGUGGGAAAGCUGUUUUCCCGGCUACAGCUGGGAGCAGAAGGCAGAAGAGCCAAAGAUGAAGCGGGCAGGAAUCAGACAUAGUCCCCAAGGUGAGGGCUUCAGGACCCACCAGACUGCUUCACCCAUCUCUUCUGACUCCUCCAAGCCAGUCAAGAUUCUGCCCGGAUGCCUGUCCUCCCUCUCUGUUCCUGAGCCCAUCAACAAAAGGCCUUUCAUCACUCAGCUCAGAGGUGCUCACUCCUGGGGUCCACUCUGUGCCUGACACCCCCAGCUCCUCAGGGCUCUGCAGAGUGACGUCUGGGGGCUCGGGGCACACUUACCUCCCUCUGCUCUGCUCCUACCCCACCAUCCAGCCCACGGUCCUGCCUCGCCCUGCAGAUGUCCCACCUCCUGCCUGUGUCGCCACACCAGGACCUCAGCAGUGGACAGCCUGUCUGCCUGUCCCCUGGGCUGUCCCAGCCACACCCAAGGGUCGGCACAGAGGAGGAACAGACCUUUGCCAUUCUCGGGGCCUGGGAAUUACACAAGUGCUGCCUUCUUACUCAACUUAAACACACGGAGGGUGUUUAUCCAGGAUGUGUGGAUGAUUUUUGUUUCUUGGUGGUUUUGAGGGGAAGGGUGGAUAUUUUCUUUGUUCUUAAGUAUGCAAAAAUUAUUUCUCCAUCCCUGGUAUUUCAGUUGGAAAAUACAUUUGAAAGGAAUGACUUGUGGGCUCGGGGUGCAGGUCAUGGGCAAAGCUGUGGGUUCCAUCCCAGUGUUGAAACAAGAAGGAAGAGAGGGAGGGAGGGAGGGAGGGAAGGAGGGAAAGAUUUAAUAUGUGUAGUCAUAGUUACGUAGAUAUAAAAAUCACGCCUUAUCCAUAAACAGCAUGCCAUUUUGAGUUGAAUUCACACUUAAAAUACAGACUUUUCUUUUUUCAAAUCAGGAAAGGUCCAGGUGUGUGGAGUAGCAUAGUCUCAUUUCCGAGCUCCCAGAACCCAGUUUUAUGACUUGGGUUGACUUAAUGCAAUAAAACAAAAUUAAGCACUGCUUGAUUGCUGUUUUUGUCCCAGUGCUGGGGAUGGAACCCAGGGGAUCACACGCACUAGGCAAGGGUCCCCCACCGAGCUACACCCCGGCCUACAAUUCCCUUAAACUGUUGGAGGUUUUUUUGAUUUUUUAAAUGGCAAUUAACAAAUGACAAAUGACAAUAGGCUGCUACAAAUAUGACUUUAUACUGAAAACAUUGUUUCUAAGAAUCGUGUAAAUAUUUUUUCAAAUUAAAACAAACUAGAGGGGUUUAUGUGCAAGUCAUUCAGUGGAAAACCUCUCAGAUGUGUGCUUUGACAUUUGUCGCUGAGGGGAAGCCUGGGUUUUCUUAGUUUUCUAAGAGAAAACUAGCUUUCUCCUCGUGUUGUCCACUUCCUGCAGGCUGAGGACAUGACUGUGUGGCAUGAAUCCUAGGGUUUGUCCAAAGGCCCCUCCCGUACUCUGAGUGGACGACAGGGAACUGGAAGCUCCAUUCUCCCACGCAGGAGAUUCAAUUUCUGUUAUAGAUUCCACUAGAAAAAUAACAACCAGCAUAUUCAUUAAGCUCUUCUUUGCUUCCUUAACUGUAUUUUCAUAUUUUUAUCCAACGUCUACCAGCGAUCUAGGCGUCUCGGUCAUCACCGAUUUCACGUCAUCCAUAUGACAUUCUACUUUUGUCCCCUGGCCAGGAUGAGACACACAGGACAUGUCCACAGACAGAUGCGCUCCUCACAGGCCCUGCUGUGACUUCUGAGCAGUUAUUUCCUAAUUCAAAGUGUGUUUUAUAGGUGGCCAAGUGUUACGACAUAGCACAGCGCCUGUGUGGAGUGCAGAAUAGCAUGCAUUGCUUGGGCAUAGUUCUUGCCUGAGCUGCUGUUUCUGGGAAUGCUUUACCUAUUUUGAGACUCGUACUUUCCCGGGCGCUUUUUGCUGUACAUGGAGAACACAUCCCCACAGAGGAGCCAAGCCAGCCAAGAGCCACUCCAUGUGGAACCUGGAAACGAACCCUGAAGCUACCCACCCUGGGCAGCUUGUCAACCCGUUUUCCUGACGUCAGUGUGGACAUCCUCUUGAAAAAGAUUUCUACUUAGAAUUAACUUAAAAGCGAGGCUCAUUUGCUUGAGUUUUACGUGACAAAAAUAACUUGUCAGUAUAUGUGUAUAUGAGUAAGAAUGAUUAUAGUUUGUAUUGGCAAUUGACGUACUGUACCAAUCAAUCCUCUUGCAUUAUCUCAAUUAAUCUUGGCAACUAUUGCACCUAUUUUAAAAUGACAAAUCAGGUGCCCUGUAACCUUCCUUGACUUAAGUUACCCAGCUGUCCGAUAGUGGAGCUGCCGUUUAAACCCAGGCAGCCUGAUUUUAGAACCUACCCCAUUCUGUCUUUUGCUAUGUAUUUGUGCAUGUGUGUGGAUAUAUACAUACACAUGCAUAUAUACACAUACACAUAAAUACACACGUGUCAUAUAAGCAUGCAUAUACUUAUUAAUAAAUGUGUAAAUGCUCAGAAAAAUCUUCUGGAAAGAUUUAAUUCUCCUCAACCGUGCGCUCUUGGGAGAGGCAUUUGAAAUUAGGAUCAAUGCUUACAUUAAUUCCACACAUUUCUCUAAUCAUUUUAAUCCCCAAAACAAACAUGCAUUAUUCUUGUAUUUUAAAAAGUAAGUUAUUGAUUUUGCUGUCUGUGUCCCCCUGGAAAUGCUUGCUGAAUAAUUGAAGAGCAAGUCAUAAAAUCUGGUAGAGACAAAACAGUUCACAGAGCCAGGGAUGUAGCUCAGUUGUUUUGCCGCCUGCUGCGCAAGCGCAAAGAUCCGAGUUUGAUCCCCGGUACCA